UAGCCUAGUGGUUAAGGCUAUGGAUCGCCAAUCCGGAGACAGCGGGUUCAAUUCCCGC
rfam:Aedes albopictus isolate Foshan contig137360, whole genome shotgun sequence.